GUGAGAAUACUAUCAAUUGCACGCUUUGGGAAUCCUAUGCUGAACAAUUCAUGAAGUUCAAGCAGGAGCGCGGAGAUGAUUCUGGUCCUAUUUUUGUCAUGAUCCAAUAUGCUAAAGUCAAGGAACAGGGAAAGUUUCCACUGUCCGUGACAAACACGUUUAAUGUUACCGUCCUUGGUCUGAAUACUGAUUUGCUGCCGAUGAAAGAGUUUAUAGAAAGUUUUCCGAAGGAUUCCAUGAU